AUUGAACGCUGGCGGCAUGCUUUACACAUGCAAGUCGAACGGCAGCGCGGGCUUCGGCCUGGCGGCGAGUGGCGAACGGGUGAGUAAUACAUCGGAACGUGCCCAGUAGUGGGGGAUAGCUCGGCGAAAGCCGGAUUAAUACCGCAUACGACCUGAGGGUGAAAGCGGGGGAUCUUCGGACCUCGCGCUAUUGGAGCGGCCGAUGGCAGAUUAGCUAGUUGGUGGGGUAAAGGCCUACCAAGGCGACGAUCUGUAGCUGGUCUGAGAGGACGACCAGCCACACUGGGACUGAGAUACGGCCCAGACUCCUACGGGAGGCAGCAGUGGGGAAUUUUGGACAAUGGGCGAAAGCCUGAUCCAGCAAUGCCGCGUGUGUGAUGAAGGCCUUCGGGUUGUAAAGCACUUUUGGCGGGAACGAAAAGGACUGUGCCAAUACCACGGUUCGAUGACGGUACCCGCAGAAUAAGCACCGGCUAACUACGUG
rnacentral:rRNA from 1 species